AUAUGUAAUUUCUGCUCAAUGAAUUUUAAAUAGCUGCAGUACUCUGACUGUGCAAAGGUAGCGCAAUCAAUUGGCCUUUAAUUGGGGUCUUGUAUGAAUGGAUAAAUGGGAAGUGACUGUAUCAGAAUACAUUAUUAAUUUAUUAAAUUAAGUGAAAAUUCUUAUAUUUAAAUAAUAGACGAGAAGACCCUUGAAAUUUUAAGAAUAGACUAUACAUACUUUUUGUUGGGGCAACAAAGUAACAAAGAAUUUACUGUUAGAGCAUAAAAACUAUUGUGACGAAGUUUAAAUUACUCUAGGGAUAACAGCAUAAUUUCAUAAUAGCUUGUGACCUCGAUGUUGGAUUAGGGAUUUACCAUUUAGAAGAUUACUAAUUAUGCUCUGUUCGAGCA
rnacentral:rRNA from 1 species